rnacentral:lncRNA from 1 species
AAAAAAAGUAAAUGAAUGGAUAAAGGAAUUAAAUCUAGGCUCUAACAACACAGGGAAUUGAGUUUAACUUAGGCACCACGUUUAAAAGAUGUUGACAAUUUAAAGUGCAUACUGAGAAAGUGAGCAGGGUAGUAGAUGAUCUGCUGGAAAGCAGGAUAAGCAAUGAAAUGAUCUUGGGAUAUUUACUUUGGAAAAGACACAGCACAGUGGGGAGAUGACAAUGAUCUUCACAUAUGCAAAAUAUUAUUUCAGAGAGAAAAGAAUUUU